UACGAAGGGUGCUAGCGUUGUUCGGAUUUACUGGGCGUAAAGGGCGCGUAGGCGGCCACGACAAGUCACUUGUGAAACCUCCGGGCUUAACUCGGAACGGUCAAGUGAUACUGUCGGGCUAGAGUGCAGAAGGGGCAACUGGAAUUCUCGGUGUAGCGGUGAAAUGCGUAGAUAUCGAGAGGAACACCUGCGGCGAAGGCGGGUUGCUGGGCUGACACUGACGCUGAGGCGCGAAAGCCAGGGGAGCGAACGGG
rnacentral:rRNA from 1 species